rnacentral:rRNA from 1 species
GAGUAAUGCGUGACCAACCUCGCCCCAUGCUCCAGAAUAGCUCUUGGAAACGGGUGGUAAUGCUGGAUGCUCCAACUUGACGCAUGUCUUGGUUAGGGAAAGUUGUUUAGUGGCAGUGGGAUGGGGUCGCGUCCUAUCAGCUUGUAGGCGGGGUAAUGGCCCACCUAGGCUUCGACGGGUAGCCGGCCUGAGAGGGCGGACGGCCACAUUGGGACUGAGAUACGGCCCAGACUCCUACGGGAGGCAGCAGCG